GAUGAACGCUGGCGGCGUGCCUAAUACAUGCAAGUCGAGCGAACAGAUGAGGAGCUUGCUCCUCUGACGUUAGCGGCGGACGGGUGAGUAACACGUGGAUAACCUACCUAUAAGACUGGGAUAACUUCGGGAAACCGGAGCUAAUACCGGAUAAUAUAUUGAACCGCAUGGUUCAAUAGUGAAAGACGGCUUUGCUGUCACUUAUAGAUGGAUCCGCGCCGCAUUAGCUAGUUGGGAAGGUAACGGCUUACCAAGGCAACGAGGCGUAGCCGACCGCAGAGGGGGGUAGGCCACCCGGGAGCGUGGACACGGACAAGGCGCCUGAGGGAGGGAGCAGUAGGCAACGGUAGGCAAUGGGCGAAAGCCUGACGGAGCAACGCCGCGUGAGUGAUGAAGGUCUUCGGAUCGUAAAACUCUGUUAUUAGGGAAGAACAAAUGUGUAAGUAAAUAUGCACGUCUUGACGGUACCGAAUCAGAAAGCCACGGCUAACUACGUG
rnacentral:rRNA from 1 species